AGUGAACGCUGGCGGUAGGCCUAACACAUGCCAGUCGAACGGCAGCACAGUAAGAGCUUGCUCUUACGGGUGGCGAGUGGCGGACGGGUGAGGAAUACAUCGGAAUCUACUUUUUCGUGGGGGAUAACGUAGGGAAACUUACGCUAAUACCGCAUACGACCUACGGGUGAAAGCAGGGGAUCUUCGGACCUUGCGCGAUUGAAUGAGCCGAUGUCGGAUUAGCUAGUUGGCGGGGUAAAGGCCCACCCAGGCGACGAUCCGUAGCUGGUCUGAGAGGAUGAUCAGCCACACUGGAACUGAGACACGGUCCAGACGCCUACGGGAGGCAGCAGUGGGGAAUAUUGGACAAUGGGCGCAAGCCUGAUCCAGCCAUACCGCGUGGGUGAAGAAGGCCUUCGGGUUGUAAAGCCCUUUUGUUGGGAAAGAAAAGCAGCAGGUUAAUACCCCGCUGUUCUGACGGUACCCAAAGAAUAAGCACCGGCUAACUUCGU
rnacentral:rRNA from 1 species